GUGGCCCUCUCCUCCGCUCUGAGAGCGUUUCCGGAGCGCCUACUGUGUGCUUGUUGCUAGGGUGGGGCGUUACAAGGAAAGAAAGUGCCAGACCCGACCUUAGUAAGCGUGCUCGCUGCAGCGGUCCUCGGGCUGGCGCUGGGAAACUGAGGGACACUUAGUCCUGAGAACCUCCAGUUGGUAAGGGACAGUUCAGGAUGCGAUGGCUCUUCGGUCCCCCAGGGCCCACGGAGUCGAGAAGAAAGCCAUCUCCGAUAAAACCCCAAGCAGGUAGCCCAGUCACGCACUCGAGAGGCGACCGGGGGUGAUAACUGGCAGCGCUUAGGGAGCGUUGAUGACGCAGCCAGGCUGGCCCCGCGCUUCGUGGGCAUCAUCCCGUGCAGUUCUCCGGUUAUCUGGAGUCAGUUGAUCUUAUGGACAAAUGCUCAUCAGGACUCUCCUCAAAUCUGCUUCCUGUUACUAGCUACAUCCUAGUCAGUGCCUGACCAAGGCCAGAAUCCAUGGUACAACUGCUGUUUCAGGAAGCUGCUCACCAGAAACAAAGGACCUGGAAGGAAGUGGCUGGACUUCAUGUAGGCUGAGAUCUUCAGGCCCUCAAAGUGGGAUAUGAAGUCCUUCAGCUUGGGGAAUGCAUCCAGACACUUGGGUUCAAAUAUACUGUGCAGGUCAAGGACAUCAUAAGGAAAUCCACGAAGGUGAUCUUGUUCCCUGCAAACCAAGGCUGCUCCCCCAGGAACUGUGAGAAGAGCUUCAUCUUGACAGGGAGGC
ensembl:lncRNA